UCAGAACGAACGCUGGCGGCGCGUUUAAGCAUGCAAGUCGAGCGGCAAGGGCCUUCGGGCCCUAGAGCGGCGGACGGGUGAGUAACACGUGGACAAUCUGCCCCCCGGCCCGGGAUAGCCCAGGGAAACCUGGAUUAAUACCGGAUGAGACGGGACCCGCGAUGGCGGGACCCGGGAAAGGCGCUGCGGCGCCGCCGGGGGAUGAGUCUGCGUCCCAUUAGCUAGACGGCGGGGUAACGGCCCACCGUGGCGACGAUGGGUAGCCGGCCUGAGAGGGUGGACGGCCACAUUGGAACUGAGACACGGUCCAGACUCCUACGGGAGGCAGCAGCUAAGAAUCUUCCGCAAUGGGCGAAAGCCUGACGGAAGCGACGCCGCGUGAACGAAGAAGGCCGUGAGGUUGUAAAGUUCUUUUCGGGAGGGGGAACAACCGUGGCAGGGAAUGGCCGCGGGAUGACGUGAAUCCCGGAAUAAGCCCCGGCUAACUACGUGCCAGCCGCCGC
rnacentral:rRNA from 1 species